rnacentral:rRNA from 1 species
GUAUCCUGGCUCAGGAUGAACGCUGGCGGCGUGCCUAACACAUGCAAGUCGAACGAAGCUUGACGGAUGAUUUCUUUCGGAAUGAAACCAGAUAUGACUUAGUGGCGGACGGGUGAGUAACACGUGAGCAACCUGCCUUUCAGAGGGGGAUAACGGCUGGAAACGGUCGCUAAUACCGCAUGACGUGUUCGGAUGGCAUCAUCUGAACAUCAAAGAUUUAUCGCUGAAAGAUGGG